AGUCUUAAUUCAAGUUAAGUCAAAGACCAACAUCAUUACUGACUUGGUCAUAUUAAAUAUCAGCUGUAGUUCUACAGAAGCAGAAAUCAGGGACACCAAAGAUUACAGAGUUGUUUUGAAAAUGUGUGUGUGUGUGUUUGUGUUCAUACAGGUGUGUGUAAUUAAUAGGAAAAGAUGUCUGUGAUCUCACACUGGACCUAAACACAGUAAACAGAAACCUCUCUCUGUCUGAGGAGAACAGAAAGGUGACAUGUAGGAGAGAGGAACAGCCGUAUCCUGAUCACCCAGAGAGAUUUGAGGGCUGUAGACAGGUGCUGUGUAGAGAGGGUCUGACUGGGUGCUGUUACUGGGAGGUAGAGAGGAGUGGGAGAGGUGCUGUUAUAGGAGUGACAUAUAAAGGAAUCAGCAGGAGAGGAGAUGACUGUUAUCUUGGAUACAAUGACAAGUCCUGGAGUCUGUUCUGCUCUGACAACCGUUACAUUGCCAGGCACAAUGAUAAUCUCACUACCAUAGACGUCCCCUCCUCCAGCUCCCACAGAGUAGGAGUGUAUCUGGACUGGCCAGCCGGCACUCUGUCCUUCUAUAGAGCCUCCUCUGACACACUGACCCACCUGAUCACAUUCACCUCCACAUUCACUGAGCCCCUCUAUCCAGGGUUUGGGGUUUGGGAUUUUGGUGACUCAGUGUCCCUAAAAUAAUAACCUGACACACACACACACAUUCACUCACUGGACACACACACACAGACAAACACACACACAGGACACACACACACUCUGGACACACACACUGGACAAACACACACUGGACAAAUAAACACACACACACACACAGUGGUCACACACACACACACACACAGGACACACACACACUCUGGACACACACACACACUGGACACACACACACACUGGACACACACACACAGUGGACACACACACACACACCCCCACACACUGGACACACACACUCUGGACACACACACACACACUGGACACACACACA